rnacentral:rRNA from 1 species
UACGAGGGGGGCAAGUGUUGUUCGGAAUCACUGGGCGUAAAGGGAGCGUAGGCGGAUGUUUAAGUCGGGAGUUUAAAACCGGGGCCCAACCCCGGAGCGGCUCCCGAAACUGGAUAUCUUGAAUAGGUCAGAGGCUGGUGGAAUUGGAGGUGUAGCGGUGGAAUGCGUAGAGAUCUCCAAGAACACCUAUUGCGAAGGCAGCCAGCUGGGACCAUAUUGACGCUGAGGCUCGAAAGCAUGGGGAGCAAACAGG